rnacentral:misc_RNA from 1 species
CCUCAUUUGAGAAAAUUGAGCCUGUACAGAAAAAAGAAAACCCAUAACAAACAUAACUGUUAGAGGAAAUAAAAAUUAAAGGAAAGGAUAUAAACAUAAACAUUUGAAAUGGACCAAUAUGAGGAAAAGAUAAAUAUAUCACUGCCACAGUGAUUUAGACAACAAGAAAAAGACAGUAUUCAUGUAUUUCAUCUAAGCCACGCAAGGCAACAUCUCACUAAGAAGGUAAAGAGGAGGCAUCAAUGCAUUCAAGCAUGUGUAUUUGUGUGCAAUAAUUAAGGAGGUAUAUAUCAACAAAACCUAUCUCUACCAACUACUAACAGGAG